GAUGAACGCUGGCGGCGUGCCUAAUACAUGCAAGUCGAACGAAACUUCUUUAUCACCGAGUGCCUGCACUCACCGAUAAAGAGUUGAGUGGCGAACGGGUGAGUAACACGUGGGCAACCUGCCCAAAAGAGGGGGAUAACACUUGGAAACAGGUGCUAAUACCGCAUAACCAUAGUUACCGCAUGGUAACUAUGUAAAAGGUGGCUCUACUACCGCUUUUGGAUGGGCCCGCGGCGCAUUAGCUAGUUGGUAGGGUAAAGGCUUACCAAGGCAAUGAUGCGUAGCCGAAAUGAGAGGUUGAUCGGCCACAUUGGGACUGAGACACGGCCCAAACUCCUACGGGAGGCAGCAGUAGGGAAUCUUCCACGAUGGGCGAAAGCCUGAUGGAGCAACGCCGCGUGGGUGAAGAAGGUCUUCGGAUCGUAAAACCCUGUUGUUAGAGAAGAAAGUGCGUGAGAGUAACUGUUCACGUUUCGACGGUAUCUAACCAGAAAGCCACGGCUAACUACGUG
rnacentral:rRNA from 1 species